AAUAAUUUCCCCCAACUGGAACUCUAACAUAUGUUCCACAUAUGUGGCAAUGCUAUUGUACAACAUGCUAUUUCUGAAUACCACACAAAAGUAAAAUCCUAAUUUAAUUUUAAGUAGCAUGGGAAAUUUCUAGUGAAGAGCAAAUUCGUUAUUUCACACCAGAAGAAUUUUGAAAAAGGCCCGGUACAAACCUAACAUUAGGCGUUAGGUGAUGGAUAGGUAGCCUGCUCCUCAUUGUCUAUGUCGGUAAUAUCCAGCCCAGCUCUAAGUCACACUGUUUAUUGUGAUAUGCUAAAUUACCCGAAUCUGUCCUACCUUGAUUUCUCUCUCAAAAUCUCAAAUUGUUGCCAGAGAACUGCUCUUUCAACUGGAUCUGGGCAGGGCUUUGGGGAAAUUGGACGGUCAGUUAAGUUAAUCACAGGCGUGAAUUCCUUGUGGGUUCCCAGAGGACAGCCCAUAGAAUGUGUUUCCCAGCUGUAAGAGGUACCCUGAAUUCUAGUACAUACCCACUUCUUGAGGGAAGGGGAUGAUCCCUGGCUGCCAAACAGGGCCAUUUUUGUAAUGGCUUGAUUGGGUAAAACGUGUUUCGGUGGAAUAGAUACCACGUACCAUGACCACGCCCUCAACCCUUGAGUUGGGUGAGGAGAUGGUGACUCAUGGGGCUCAGCUGUAUAGACAGCCCAUAAACCAGGUAGGGACUGAACUUACCCUUUGUUGGUGACCACUGCUUACUCUCCAGCAGGAGGAACUUAGCCAAUGCCUCUCAAUUUGCAAAAUGGCACCAAACUGGCCCCCAGAGAAACAUUAUCAAAGGCCUUUUUGUCUUAGAAUGCAUCGGUGCUGAGGAAGGGAAUGUUAUGCAUGGCAUGCAUGGAUGGGCUUUGAACCCACCCAAGUCCAAACCUCAUUUUCUCUCUGGGAGAGAGGAAGGUGGCAGGAGAGGGAGCCAAGAGGCCAAGAUGCUGCCAACAUUCAAGUGGGAAGGGCCCUCCUCUGGAAUGAGUAUGCUGGCAGAGGAAUGGGGCAGAGGAAUGAAUUUUAGAAAUGUUGUGGUGAACGAGACACUGAGAUUUAUUUUAAAAUGAAAGAUUUAUGAAAAUAACCUGGUACCAGAGGAAAAAGAGACUUGAGGGUUGAAACAGAUCAUGGUUGGGGGAGCUGGGAUGACGUGGAGUGCAGGAGAACGAUGUGGCAGGGAGGAGAAGGUGAGGGGCCAAGAAGAGAGUCCCCAGGAAGGUGCAGGGGAGGGGGCAUGGGCUGCUGAUCUGGAGGCGGUCUUCUCUUCUUGCUGCCACCUUGGUCUCCAUGACCUGGCAAUUGGCUUCUUCUGUGGAGGGAAGGGGGAACUGAGACCCACUGGCACAAAGCACAGAAGACUACCCAGGCUCGGAGAGGAUGACAAGAAAUUUAAUGAGAGGGUAGGCGGUGGUUCCCAGACCUGAGGAAGAGAUGAGGAUGAGGGUAGCUGCAGGGGUGCAGUGAAGCAGGAAAUGAUGGACAGGCUGAUCAGGACCUGGAGCCCAGCUUUCAUUAGCUCUGAAAGUUUUCUGUCUCGGUGUUGCUCCUGCCCCAAUCCCAGAAGGGCAAUUCCACAUGGUCUGGCUUGGGUCAUGUUCUCAGCUGUUGGCCAGAGGAGGGCACCCAAACCAUGAGCAAUGGCAGAGAGGUUCUCCAGGAAAGAACUGAGGUGCUGUGAUCAGAGAAAGAGGGAAUAGUAGCUGGGCAAGCAAGAACACAAGCGCCCACUGCACAGGGUGACGACAAAGCCACCACAAGACCUUGUCUCGGGUUCCAUGGGAUCAUGGAAGGAAGGGUUUAAUAACACAUCUGAUGUUGUUACCUCAUUUAUUUCUCACAAUUACCCUGAGAGGGAGAGAAAACCAACUGAGGACUCAAGAAAUAUCUCAGGACUCAUAGCACCUUGGACCGACAUCUGGUCAUGGGUCCCCACGGCAAGUGUGCCUUCUGGUUCUCUGUGGUGCCCACACAGGGAGCUCCCUUGGGCAGGGGGAGUGGAAUGGACUUUUCCAGCCCGAAGCCGUCCCAGAGCUCCGGGUGAGUCUGCACAGAAGAGUCUUUUCAUCUAAACUUCUUAAUAUAAACUUGAAGCCCGAGUGCCUAUCUCAUAUUUAAAUAUUUUCAGGAAUGCUAGAAGGUGGGGGGAACUUCCACCCAGAAUCAUUUCUGGAAAGAACUACCUGGGGAAAGGAAGGUCUCAUGUACCAAGCUCGAUCCUUCUCUUUUGGCCACUGCAGAGCACCUCCUUGUUUCUGCAUCGAGAUGUUUGGCUCCAGUUGUUACAUUGCUGGGUUCCCACCGACAGUCCCUCCUCGAGCCCCACCCCCCAUCCCAUGAUGAGAUGCAAAGAUUUAACGGUUUCCAGAGGGAGGCUACCUAAUUUGACACACAUUUGACACACACAUUUGACACAUUCCACACGUUCUUGGGCUUGAAUAACACCACCUGUAAGCUGGUGAGAUAGUGUGUUCAACGUGUGGUAACCCGGGAAGCUGCCCUUUUCACCCGGUUGUGGGAAGGGUGGUCUCACACAUUUUUUCCACAGUAAUUUGAUUUCAUCUGAGAACAACUGCAGAAGCUACUGUUGGGAAAGCAACCCAAGGUUCAAUGUCGAGGUCAUUAUUAGUAUUAGAUGUUUCAGAUCUGUGACAUAGUUGAGUUCUAGUAUACUCAUAAGGAAGCAUCCUGUGAGGACUUCUAUCAGAAUUGGCAGGGGUCCAGCAUUUCACCAUCAGGAUGGUGCCCCCAUCCUGGGCAACAGGUGUUUUGAGUGUUUUUGAAAAGCCCUAACAGCCCAAACUUUGCCUAACAAAGCUUCUCUGUGCCCUGAGUUCUUUUCCAGGCUAUGGGUUUUAUUCUCCAGGGUUUUUACUUGUGGAGUCCUUUCGGUAUUCAGGACCAAAUGUUAGCUUGGGCUAUGAGGUUCAAUCUUCCUCUCCCACAAGCCAAUCUUAGUAACACAAUUUGAGUAGAAAUAUGCAAACACAGUUUCAGAUCAAGUCUGCUAGCCUCCAUCUUUCAGCCAGAUGGCCACCCCUAAGACUUUUUCUGAAGAAAGUUUGGAGACUUCCUUAGGAGGGUGAAAAUAAUGAGUAGUACAUUCAGAAUAGAGAAAUCUUGGGCACGGCAGUGUUCUGUAAGGAGAAUGCUUUCUUAGCUCCCAAAUUUUGUCUGCAGCUCUCAGCUAAUCCAAAUAUCUAUUUAUAAUAGCAUUUGGAGAGACCCUUAAACUUGGGUUUUAAAAACCAAAAGAAAUAUUAAGAAGAAAUCCACAGGACAAUUUGAACAAUGUAUAUUUUAAUACAUAAUUAAGAUGGAUAUUAUUAUACACAAAAAAGUAACACAGUGGUUCCACUAACAAUUUUUUUUCAGUUCCUUCUCCUUAAAUCCCUUAUGUAGGUAAGGCUAAGAGAAUGGUCUUUGUUUCUGUAGGGUGUGCUUUAUCUUAAUGUAACAGCCCAAGUUCAUGGUGAUACCCUACUGUGAGGGUCUGUGUGGGAUGUCACCACCUGUGACAGGGCUCUUAUUAAUGAGCUGCAGAACAUACUCUAUCUUGGUAUACAGUCUAUGUCAAAGUCCAUACCAAGUUCUGAGCCUUAAAGAGGUUCCUUUCCUCUGGCUUUCUUUGCUGAAUGUGUGCUUCAAGUUACUUAUUUCUCUGGGAAAGAUUUCUCUUUUCCUUAGCAUGGCCUUGGAUCUUUCUGUUUCUCUUUGAAUGCCUUCUGUCUACUGCCUUUGUGUGCUGCUUUAUCUCUUUAUUGCAGGGUGGAGGAAGUGUUUGAUAUUUUGUUCCAACAAAAAUUUUUGGAAUAUCUAUUUGAUCAGCCAGUGGGCUAGGUUGCUAUGUGAAAGAGUAAGUUCCAAAUUUAAUCUGAGCUGAAAACAAAUUCCACUGUUAUGCAGAAGCAUGCUCACCUUGAUCUCUUCUGGGCACUCUCCCAGGUUACAACAGCUCAGACUCUACCCCUUAACAAUUUUAUGCCCACAAUAGAGGCUAAAGAAUCACCAAGAAGUAUGGGAAAACUCACUGUUUGCAGAGAUGCUAAUUAUUUCCUCCAACGAUCAUUUCCUUCCUUUUUCCAGGCCUCUAGAGAAAUUGUCUCCAAAAACAGCCCAAAAGGGAGUUCCCUAAGUGCUUUGAGACCCUGUUACUGUCUACAGCUUACUGCAUCAGAUGUGGAUUCCUCACCCAAGAUAAGCCAAACGCAUGUAGCCUAAAGAUGCAGCGACUACAUAAGUUGUCUUGGAAACUUGAAUUGGAAAGGGAACAUCCAGACGCCGGCGGGCAGUGCCGGGCAGGCAGGUGGCGCUGCUCCACAAAAUCCUCUAGCUUUCUUCUACUUUUUGAUGUCCUCUUCAUCCGCCCAUCUGCCCUUCUAGCCCCGGGGAAAGGGAUCCUGCGGAUUGAUGGACUGUCACCUGGAAGGUGGAGGCAGACCCCAGAUCUCUGUGUUCUUAAAGGAAAGAAGGAUUAAUGAGCUCCUUAGAGUUGUCUGUGGGCUGGAGCUCAUCUCGGUGCCUGCUCCGGCUGGGACAGUGUACUGCCAAGAGAAAGGCAGGCAGCUACAAAGCUUUGGUCAUGCUGCCCCUUGUGUGACCUGUCAGGUCUUGUCUGUGAUCGGCUGUGCUGGUUGGUGCAGGUCACACGCUGAGCUCUUCCCAGGAAUCUGAUUGUUUGCAGUUGUAAAGUGCAGGAGCUUGGAUCUGUCCGAGCAGAGGGUUAAAUCAUGGAGUGUUUUACAAGGGCAGCUAUAGGGAAUGUCUUGUUUUCUCCUUAUAUGGCUAUUUUUCUCAGUCCAGAAUCCCAGGGUGUAUUUUACGUGGUUGAAAUACACAAAUGGAGUCAUAGUCUUAGCCAAACAUGCUAUGUGGCUUUAAAAUUAACAAGCCUCUCUCUACUUCUGUAUCCCAAACACACAUUCACAUGCACCAUUUCCGUUGAGACCGUGGAAAGCUACUCCUUCCUUUUUAGCCAAAAAUAUUCAAUGGGGUGGAUUUCUACAAUUCUGUUGCUUUAUGUGGGAGAAAGAUUUCUUUGGAUCAGAGUAGUUUUGCAAGCGUGUGGGUCAAGUUUAAGUAGCAAGUUUUUAAUGAGUCGCUACCAUAUGUGAUGUGCUGCCUUCACUGACUCUGGAUGUAUGGGCAGAAUGGGGGCACCAAACGUUAACAUAUAAAAAGGAAAGAUGUUUAAUGAUGAUUCAAGACGACACUAGUCAGAAGGCAGCGCAGGGUGAGAGAGAGCAUGAGCUUGCCACAGGCGCUCAGGGGAAGGAGAAAUCUGUUCAGACUGCGGUGAUCAGGGCAACUUUGAUGGAAGAAGUGGAGGUUUGAAUUAGUUGGAUUUGGUUAGGUCAGGGGGAGAAGGAGAGGCAUUUUCGUGGUGGAGACCUGAAGAAAAAUGCUAAGGAGAGACAAUGAAGGGAAUUUUAAAAGAGGAGAGCGAAUAAUCCAGAGUGGCUAAAGCAAAUAAUUCAUGUAGGAGAAGAGGCACUUUGGGUGGGAAAGGUAGAUGAAGGCUGGAGUUGGCCUGGGAAGUCAAGCUGGAGCUGCGAUUUUUACUGCAUGAUAAAGUGGAGACAUUGAGGGCUUUGGGGUAUUUAUUUUGAUCUGAACCGCUCUGGGCACCAGGAUUCUCAAUAAUUUCUGUCUCCAAAGCUUAUUUUUCUUUUUGGCUAUCUCAUCAAAUAUGACAAUCUAGAACAUUAAGAUUUAAAUUUUUUUCAAAAAAAAU